GCGAAAGCUCACUUCUUCAGGCAGUUGUGUGUUCACGAAAAGCUUUGACGGAAUAUUUUGAAUCUGCCAUUAAAAAAAACACGAAAGAACCGACACACCACAUUGAUUUAUAUGACUUCUUUCUUUUUUAUUAUUACACACGCUUCGAAUGUUUUUCCAUCUUCUUUUUUAUAACAUUAUGGAUGAUACGGCAGAGAAACUGCGUGUUAAGGACGCGUCUCUGGGGGCAACUGCAAAAUCUGUUUCAAAUGGAACGAAGAAUCAUCUUCGACUGUAUUCAUGCUCCUUUUUGGAUCUUCUGCUGACGUGGACGAAUUAGAAAGUAA
rnacentral:ribozyme from 1 species